rnacentral:rRNA from 1 species
CGACCUCGUACAGUUCAAGAAUUAGUGUGCCUCAAUAAGUCUUACCGACCCAACAUUAUUUUUCUUUCUGAAACAAGGCAAACUAAAGAUUAUGUUGAGAGUUUGCGGUAUCGUUUGGGUAUGAAAAAUGUUUUUACAGUUUCGAGUAAAGCCAAAGACGGUGGUUUAGUGGUAUUCUGGGAUGAAUGCUUCUUUGUGGAGUUAAACAAAUUUGGUGAUCACUUUAUUGACUUGUAUAUCUGUAAGAGUGGUACCAAAAUGGAGAUGCACAUUGGUUUAUGGGGAACCGAAGGCGAGCCAGAGUUAUGUCAUGUGGAAGCUUUUGAUGACAACGGCAGAGCUAUGUAG